rnacentral:rRNA from 1 species
GGGGGAUAUUGCACAAUGGAGGAAACUCUGAUGCAGCAACGCCGCGUGAGGGAAGAAGGUCUUCGGAUUGUAAACCUUUGUCCUUGGUGACGAAACAAAUGACGGUAGCCAAGGAGGAAGCUCCGGCGAACUACGUGCCAGCAGCCGCGGCAAUACGUAGGGAGCAAGCGUUGUCCGGAUUUACUGGGUGUAAAGGGUGCGUAGGCGGCUCUGCAAGUCAGGCGUGAAAACUAUGGGCUUAACCCAUAGACUGCGUUUGAAACUGUGGGGCUUGAGUGAAGUAGAUGUAGGCGGAAUUCCGGGGGUAGCGGUGAAAUGCGUAGAGAUCGGGAGGAACACCAGUGGCGAAGGCGGCCUACUGGGCUUUAACUGACGCUGAAGCACGAAAGCAUGGGUAGCAAAC